GACGAACGCUGGCGGCGUGCCUAAUACAUGCAAGUCGAACGCAGUGGGGACGGGUGAGUAACACGUGGGUAACCUCCCAUCAGAGGGGAUAACACUUGGAAACAGGUGCUAAACCGAUACUGAUGGAUGGACCCGCGGUGCAUUAGCUAGUUGGUGAGGUAACGGCCCACCAAGGCCACGAUGCAUAGGCGAACUGGGGAGGGGAUCCGGCAAAAUGGGAAUGAGGACAGGGCCAGGAUCCUAAGGGAGGCAGCAGUAGGGAAAUUUCGGCAAAGGGCGGAAGGCUGGACGGGCAAAGGCGGGGGAGUGAAGAAGGGUUUCGGAUCGUAAAGCUCUGUUGUUAGAGAAGCGGUAACUAACCAGAAAGGGACGGCUAACUACGUGCCAGCAGCCGCGGUAAUAC
rnacentral:rRNA from 1 species